CUGAAUGUUUGUAUGAUUUAGUUAGUCAAAUAUAAUGAAUUUAUUGUAUGUUUGUUGUGAAAACUCAAUUUGUAGGUGUCGAGCCCUUGAUACUUCAGCACUUAAAAUUGCAUGUGGACUGGGUUGUUUUUUUGACUUUGGAUGACACCUGUAAUGUGUAUGGCACAAGCAUGGAUAUAUCAGUUCAAAGUGCUUCAUUAGAAUGCCUGAUUUUGUGUUUCAACAAGAAGUAUAUUUAUUCAUUUUGAAAUACUUAUUCUGCAUUUUUGUCUACCUAAUUUAUGUUGAUCUGUAUGGCUACAUAGUUGGAUAGUCUGCUGUGGUAGAGCCCUCUCUUUUACACAUACUGCUCUAGGCUUUGAUGAAUGUUUUUUGGAGUUUUCUUUUUUUAACUGUUGGGAGGGUUAUUGUGGUGGUCUGAGCUGCCUUAUCAAUGUUUGUUUUGCUGCAUUCUUGCAGGAAGAGCACAAAGCUAGGGAUCUAUUUUAUGCCCUUUGGGUUCCUGACCUUUUCAUGAAAAGGGUGAACGGCAAUGGGAAGUGGUCAUUGUUUUGCCCAAAUGAGGCUCCAAGUUUAUCUGAUUGUUGGGGUGAGGAAUUUGAAGAACUGUACACUAGAUAUGAAAGAGAGGUAAGCUUGACUGGAGCUUGAAGUUUGAAAAUUUUGGUACUUUCAUUCAAUGAAAAUGUUACAAAUUGUCUUUGUAUUUGUUGGACUCAGGGCAAGGCAAAAAAAGUUGUUUAGGCACAGACCCUAUGGUUUGAAAUUCUGAAAUCACAGAUAGAAACUGGAACACCGUAUAUGCUUUUCAAGGACACUUGUAAUAGUUCACAGACUGUUGUGCCUAUUAUUGCUCCUGCAGUAGUUGGAGAUCGGAGGAUAUUUUUAGGUCCUGGAGCAGGUUGUGCUGGCCUUGUUGCACAGCUAGAACUAGGAUAUCGCCAAGCAAGGGAUGUUGUGCAUGCCAAUAAUGGUAUAAAGGUUCUUUUGCAUCUUCUCCAUCCUAGGAUAUUUACACCUCCAGCUUCUCUCGACUGCCUACGCGCUCUAGCAUGCCGAGUCCUGAUUGGUUUAGCCAGAGACAAUACAAUUGCACACAUAUUAACAAAGCUUUAGUGUGACUUGCAUCCUAAUAUGGGCCACGUAUAAUCAGAAUCCUUCCUAUCCUCAGUGCAAGCAUCUGUUUCAGUUUCUCAGUGUUCAUCGAUCACCGGAUGGAAGGUGCUCCUAUCAAUUUUAGAGAAGUUCUUCUCCAAGUUUCUGAACUUGCCUGAUGUAAAUAUGAGGUUGAGGAAGAUCAUCUCCAUCCUCACAAGCGACAAGCCUCCCUGCCCUCAGCUGUAUCUGUACAGCACAGCUGACAAGGUCAUUCCAGCUAGGUUGACAGAGUCUUUUAUUCAGGAGCAGAAGAAAUCUGGGAGAAAGGACACAGCUUUCUUGGGGGCAUCACUCUCUGAUCAUCUCAAACUUGACUUCAAUCCUCUUAUCAUGAAGAAACCCCAAACUGAAACUAAUACAAAAUUGGAUUAGUCCCAUCUUGUAGGUAAGUGGUUGGUCAAUCAUUUGUUGUCUUGCUCAGUCCUUGACAAAUGAAUGAGCUAGGUUGCAGGGCUUGCUAUGCAUCCAUACACAUCCAUCUGCAUUUCCUUUCUUGUUUGAGAGUUUCAUUUCAUGUCUUGCAACCAGCAGGCCAGAGCUACCUGUUGAGGUUGGAGGGGCUUGCUACGCACAAUUCAAAUUGAGAAUGCUGGUAGAGGUAAUGAUGACAUUGGCCUGGAAGCAGCAGAAGAUGGACGGGCAGUGUUAUCUCAGGGUCCGCCAAGCACGACGGCACUGGUGAUGACGGGCGCGACCAUGACUUUGUAUUAUUUGUGGAACCUAAUGUUGUGUAACAGUUUGAUUGAU